GACGAACGCUGGCGGCGUGCCUAAUACAUGCAAGUAGAACGCUGAAGGAGGAGCUUGCUUCUCUGGAUGAGUUGCGAACGGGUGAGUAACGCGUAGGUAACCUGCCUGGUAGCGGGGGAUAACUAUUGGAAACGAUAGCUAAUACCGCAUAAGAGUAGAUGUUGCAUGACAUUUGCUUAAAAGGUGCAAUUGCAUCACUACCAGAUGGACCUGCGUUGUAUUAGCUAGUUGGUGGGGUAACGGCUCACCAAGGCGACGAUACAUAGCCGACCUGAGAGGGUGAUCGGCCACACUGGGACUGAGACACGGCCCAGACUCCUACGGGAGGCAGCAGUAGGGAAUCUUCGGCAAUAGACGGAAGUCUGACCGAGCAACGCCGCGUGAGUGAAGAAGGUUGUCGGAUCGUAAAGCUCUGUUGUAAGAGAAGAACGAGUGUGAGAGUGGAAAGUUCACACUGUGACGGUAUCUUACCAGAAAGGGACGGCUAACUACGUG
rnacentral:rRNA from 1 species